CUUGAUUUUAUCGAUAUUUCUCCAGAUGUGCUUCUGUAUCCAGGAACGUUGCAAGACGACGACGAACUUCCCAUUAAACUCGCUUGGCAGAACGACACCAUUGCCGAAUCCUCUGCACAUCGGAUUCCGUCCACCGAAGUGUGAAGAAAUGGUAUCGGGGAUUACCUGAUAAGAAGUAACUGUGUUUGGAGAAGGUGUUGUUGGAGCAGGUGUCACAAUAAACAAGACCCAUGACAGUAAUCUGAGAAUAUAUUGUUCUUGGCGGGUGAGAAUGAGCAGCCUGAAUUUCAAACAGAAAGGAACUUGGAACCAAGGAGGCUAAGACAAAGAGUAGAAUAAGAUUCAUGGCUAUAUUACGGAAGAUAAGAGAGAAGCCGCUUUUUUCUUCUUUGAAAGAAGUGCCUAUCUAAUGUUCAAUGCAUAUCAGGAUAUGUAAUGAAGGGUGGGAAGAGUAGUAAUGUAAGUAACGAGCUUCACUGCUUCAGUAGUUGGUGGGUAAGGAUAUAACUGAAAGCGAAGUAAAAAAAGUGAAGGUCAUUUAACAUUUUCAUAAGAAACAAAGACAUGUGAUAGUCUUUUGUCAUUCUGCAUGUGAACUUGAUGUGUAGGAAAGAGAAGAAAUUAGAUUCUCUUGGCAGAAUUAUUGCUGAUACUGCUCCUUGAUUCGAGGGUCUAACCCAGCUAAACACUAUUAAUAGAGCUACCUAUUUCAAAAUAGGAGCCAACCAACACACGCGGAGUGAAUCUCGUUGCAUUGUUUUGGGAAGAUUUACAUCCAUAUCCUGUAUUCUUUUUAGGUGUCAAUUCUAAGUCUCUCUUGUAAAAAGUAAAGGCUGCUUUUACAUCUCAAUUGCUUGAAGGAGAUACAGACAGCAAUUUGCUUCAAGUCUUCAAGCUUCGAUUGGUGCCAAUUAUGGGGUUGUAGUCUUAGCCAAUGUCUAUGGAGCCAAGGAAACAUAACCAGGCAAUGAGUAUCAGAGGAUGAAGAAAUCACACCAUUGAGAUCGAAUGAAACAGUAUUUGGUUUGAACAACUAAACUUGACCCCAAGUUAUUAUUUAACAAUUGCAGCAAUCCCCAAAAUGCACAGGUCCAAAAACGUGCAUGAUGGGGGAGAAAAUAUUGAGUGGUGGAGAUUGAAAGCUGAUCGAAGUAUAGAAUCUGAGCCACUAAAAAAAGGACUAUGCAGCUCGUGAUGUAGUGUGGGUUUAAGGGAUGGCGAUCCAGAUUUUGGACCCAGUACCUUCUGCAGAAAAGUGAUGUUAAAGUGUAAAUUGGAGCAAUCUGAGCGGUUGAGAAUGCUUGUUGGUCGAGCCUCCUCCAGCAAAACAGGGCCCUAUAAUGCUUAUGCAAAUUGCCCCCAGCAGUACAAAGAAACUUUUCAAGUGUUGGAGCCUUUGAAGAUUGAAAAAUGACAGCAGGCUAUUUGGUUGCAAUAUAUGGUGAUGGCUUAUUUCAUUGCUGCCCCGGUGCGUGAUUCACCCUGUUGACUCGAUUACGGUAAAAAUGCUAUAAAUUAUUUUAAGGCAUGUUGGAAUAUAUUGUCGUACAUAUAGAGUUUGUCUCGAUGAAUAUUUCAGUACACCUCGUAGAUGGGAUAAAAUUAAACCACCAAAAUUGUGAAUAAGUGUUUCUCACACGAUUAAGGUUAUUUACUUUAUUUUUGAACCACAAUGUAAGAUGUUUGGAUACUCACUGUACGACUAUUUAUCAUUGCCAAAUUCUCGAAAUCUGGUGUUGGGAAAUGAAAAUUCAUAUCUGAGGUGGUUUGUUUUCGCA